rnacentral:rRNA from 1 species
ACGGGGCCGCACAAGCGGUGGAGCAUGUGGUUAAUUCGACGCAACGCGAAGAACCUUACCAGGGCUUGACAUCCCCUGACCGCGUAUGAAAGUACGUUUUCACCUCGGGUGACAGGGAGACAGGUGGUGCAUGGUUGUCGUCAGCUCGUGUCGUGAGAUGUUGGGUUAAGUCCCGCAACGAGCGCAACCCCUACGUUUAGUUGCUAACGCGUGAAGGCGAGCACUCUAGACGAACUGCCGUUGACAAAACGGAGGAAGGUGGGAUGACGUCAAAUCAUCAUGCCCCUUAUGUUCUGGGCUACACACGUGCUACAAUGGCCGGUACAGACGGACGCAAAGCCGCGAGGUGGAGCAAAUCCUAAAAAGCCGGUCUCAGUUCGGAUUGCAGGCUGCAAUUCGCCUGCAUGAAGUCGGAAUCGCUAGUAAUCGCAGGUCAGCAUACUGCGGUGAAUACGUUCCCGGGCCUU